UCCAUUAGAAUUUGUACGAAGUUAAUGGAUCUUAAUUAAGUGUUCAUCCUCUAUUUGGUUGAUGGAUCUGUAACAAGGAUCUACAUCGGUUUCGGAUCGGGUUUUAGUUAACGGGUCCAAGUGACAUCCUGCUAAACAGGGAUACUUCUUUAGCACGCCGUCCUCCGAAGCCUCCUCCCGCCGCCUCCUCGGAGCUAUGGAUGCCCAGAAGAUCUUGCUACGCAAUGGCCGCCCGGCCUCCGCAGGCGUGAAACGGACGACGACAACGCCGCUGACGCCAACACGAGCCACCUAGUCAAGGACUCCCAGAUGAAGCGCGACUCCCCGGAGAUCAGCCCCGUCGAGCGCCUCUCCGACCGCAGGACGGAGCUCGCCAAGGUCACCACCUACAGCUGCCCGAUAUACCCACAGGGUGGAAGCCGCAGCAUGCCCUCCCGCCACGCCGACGCCGUCCGCUACCAGGCGUGCCACCCCCCCGUCAAGAACUUCAAGAACCUUGGUGACAUUUGCCUCCCUGAGGCCAUCCCCAAGAAGUUGAAAGAAAAGGGGAUUGUCCAGCCGACCCCGAUCCAUCUGCAGGGACUGCCGGCGAUUCGCGGGCUCGGGAAACUGUGGUGAUGCAGGACGAGGUCAUGAAAAUCGACAAUUGCAGUUUUGGCAGCACUCGAUGACCCAAUGAAUGGUGAUGCUGUCACCGACACAAGUGGAGCUGAGUUGUGCAUAUUGUGGUGGGCUUGGUCACUGAAUCCGACUGCACCAAGUUGAAGCAUAAGAAAUCUAUGGCGACUACAGGUUCAACAAGACUACAGUAAUCAGAGAUUAAAAUCCUUCUAUUUCAGGGUGCCGAACUAUUUUCAGUUGGACAGUGGCUAUUAAUCCAGUGCAUUGUUGACGUUCCAGCAGUUAGUAACUGGAUGAAUAGAUGGUGAAAAGUCAGAUCUUAGCACCUCAGAAAUGGCAAUGUUAAAUUACAUGCUACCAAAUGAUGCAAAUUGUUGUAAGAUUUUAAUAUUUGUGAGAUAAUAGUGUAUACACAGGAGUCCGCUCCGCUGAAUGUCAAUUGAGAGGGAACUAUGUGGUGAAACUUAUGGUGGAUGUAUAACAUGUAAUGUGAUGUUGCGGGAAGAAUGCUAUCCAUGUACCAACUCUUUUCUGUAAAUGGUUUAGCAGCAGUACUGUAUGCUGAUGAUACUGUUGCUAUUUGGCACUCA